rnacentral:rRNA from 1 species
UACAGAGGGUGCAAGCGUUAAUCGGAAUUACUGGGCGUAAAGCGUGCGUAGACGGUUACAUAAGUCGGAUGUGAAAGCCCCGGGCUCAACCUGGGAAUGGCAUUUGGGACUGCAAGGCUUGAGUGCGGCAGAGGAGACUGGAAUUCCUGGUGUAGCAGUGAAAUGCGUAGAUAUCAGGAGGAAUACCGAUGGCGAAGGCAGGUCUCUGGGCUGACACUGACGCUCAUGCACGAAAGCGUGGGGAGCAAACAGG